UUUCAGCUGCAAGUCUACACACGCAUCAGAAUGUCCAGCAGAUUCCUACGUGCUUCGUGUGGUGAUGGCAGCAAAAAUCAAGAGACACGUGCAGUGAGGGAAAAGGUCAGGAGGGUUACCUCACUCGUGGCCUGAGGGAGAACUCAAGCCUGGGACGACACAAAGGGUACAAGGUGGUACCAGCAGCAGCUGCAGGCGGAGGGUUUGAACUGAGUCUGACUGCUCUGGAGACGGCUGUUACGAAAGAUUAGAUAGUCUGACUGCCGCACAGAGGGCUGUGGGGGCAGCUCAGUCAGCCUGGUGGCCCCAGAGAGGGCUGUGGGGGCAGCUCGCCCAGCCUUUCUAAAUGAUGAUGACAAUGCUGGUCCGGGGACUACAUUUUGAGAAUUGUUCGCCUGCCAGAGGUUUCAAUCUGCAAAGGGAAGAGCCGUCACUAUGAGCAAACUGGGUAAGAGACAAUAAAGCCGGUUUAAGAGACUCUGCAUGGAGAAAGAAACGUGAUGGGCUUCUCAGCAUCCAGUUGGGAAACCGGGAGGCUCCCCAAGAUCUCAGAGAGCUGGAAAUGAAGCUUCCCUGCAGCAUCAGAGAGAAGGAGGGUGAAAUCACAAGUACAGUCACAGCUAUGCCGUUGGGUCAGUAGUGCCCCGGAUAAGCUCUCAUGUUCGUUUGUGUUUGUUUUGCUUGUUUGGGGGUUUUUAUUUUCCUAUGUUUGAUGACUACCUAGUAAAGACAAGACUGAAGAAAGUCCCUUCCUACUCCCAGAGAGAUUACAGUCUGAUGAAGAUGAGAAGCAAGAAAACAAUUAAAUGUAAAACCAUCUGAUAAACCUUUAGAGAAAAUAAAACUGUAAUAACGUAGGACAGGAAGCAAAGCUUUGCUUCAGAAAACUGACAAAGGCUUUCAGGAAGAGGUGUAAUUAAACUGACGCACAGGAUAGAAGGAUCUGCCAAGCAAAGAAGAGAAGAAAGAACAUGCAGGGCAGAGGGAGCUCCAUGGCGACACAGAAGGCUAAAUCACAUGCCUCUCAGGAAAAGACGACUGUCGUGACCUCUUCAGGCUCCAGUUGAAAAUGAUUAACAAGCUAUCAGCAUGUGUCCUCGGGCAAGAAGGCAGAUGUCUGUGCCAGCCCAACUGAAACCCAGAGCUUGGCCUAGGUGGACUCUGCUCUCCGUUAUCAGACUCUAAGCCAGGGCUGGAGAGGUGGCUCAGCAGUUAAGAGCACUUGCUGCUCUUGCAGGAAGCCACAGAAGAGCCUGUUGGGGAAGACACCCAAGGAGACAUUUAAUCCCAGUAUGAGUUUCAGCCACACGUCACAGGAAGAGCAAUGAAGCUACCCUUCACCUUGCACCAUGCUUCCCUCAAAGGAUGUCAGGGGGGACAAGGAUGCCAUGUUCCUUUAAAAAUUCCUGGCCAAGUUUUUCUUUUCACCUUCCGUUUGAGAGAAGGAAGAGUUGGGGGGGAAAGACAGAAGGAGAGAGAGGAAAGAAAAGGCCUGGGCUACUUGGAAAAACCAUGACCUUAAAAAAGCUGAAACCUGUCCUGAAGGCAGUGGAGGAAUGUGAUCUUUCAAGGGAGACCCAAGCAGCCAAUGGAACAGUGCCGCUGCAACAGACCAACGCUGACCAUGCUAAAAUGCAUUGCCAGUGCAUGUGAAGCUUGCAGGUAGCACUAAGGUUGCCAACCACUCAAUACUGGCAUGCGGAUACUAUUCUAGAUUGUGCAGGUGGGUCCUCUCAAUCAAAGAGGUCCUUAAAAAUAGAAGGAGGAUGGAUGGAAAGAAGACCAGCAUGGUAGGAUAUGUUCAGAGUAGCAUGGUUUAAAAAUACUAAAAACCUUGCCAGUGAUAAUUGCUUAAUCAGUAGGUUGACUUGGGGAAGGGAAGGAGUAAAUAGGAAUGUAACAGUGAGUUCGGGGUCACUGGCUGAUGCAAAAUGAACCCCUCAGGAAUGUAGUGGGGAGCAUGUGUCCUGCCUACCUAUGUAGCCUCUGAUUCUUCAUCUGAUGUCACUACCACCACGAUCUCACCUUGGGAACAUUUCUCCUGAACUCUUGAACUUUGUGAAUUAGGAGGGGCCCUGCCACGCUCCAGCUCCCCUGCAGCGAGGUCUCGGGAUCCAGACCUCAUGCUGAUCACCACAGCCUGUGUUUCUCUUGAGCCAGCAAUUAGCUCAAGUUUAACCAUUUGAUGUAAAGCAAUUCGAUAUUGGACCAGAUUUGGGAAGUUUUGAAAAUUGAUUUGUCUUCUUUCUUAAAGGGAUGGUUGGGAAUUCUGAACUAAUUUAGAAUGAUAGCAAGCGUUUUAUCAAGACUAAAAGAAAGUCUAAAUGAAAAUGGAGAGAAUGAUGCACAGGAUGAAGCCUAGCAGCAGAGUAUGAUAAUCUUAGCAAAUUGGAGCCUAGCAUCCGAGUAGAGUAUCCUCAGCACAGCAGAGCCCAAAUGCAGAAAGUGCAGGGUCCUCGGGAAAUUACUGAAGCCUCUGCAUAUUACUCACCAAAAUGUUCAUCACAUGUGAACACACAAGUUAAAUGAAUCGAUCAACUUUUGUUUUGAUUAAAUGCAUGUGAACUGUAUCCCUGCUAUGUGAAAGUCCACAAAUUCUUGACAGGCAAGGAGUGCUCACCGUCUCUCAGGUCCAUAAACAGAAAGCGAGGCCUUUAGAAAUGUCAGACACAAAGGCACUAAUCCAAUUUAGCCCAUUGUAACUGAUGUAUAAAGCAGAAGGUAAUUUAAUAGACCUUUUCAGAUAUCUGAACUAGCAACAUCAUCCACCUAGAGUGCCUGCUUCCCAGAAUUAGAUGACCAAAGAGCCAAAUCAGCAAAUAAAAGGGUGCCGCAGGAAUGGCAGUCAGGAUAAAUGACCGUGGUCCACUGGACUCGUUUUAUCUGUACCAAGGUGAAGUCAUGUGACCCAAUUGCUGCCCAAGAGAAGAAUGAAUUUGAACCUCGUCAAAUGAGAACAUUUCUCCAGACUGUAUUACGUAAUCUUCAGUUUUCCUCUUUCUGCUGCAGAUCAAUGAUUUCUCUUCUCUUUGCAGAAAUGAACCAAUUGUUUUGAUUCUUUCUUCUCUCCAAAUGUCUAGUCAAAUUGUUUCCUGAAUUGAAGUCUCGUUCUCUUACUGCUUUUGCAGUCUGUCCUGAUCAUUGGGGCUGACAUUAUAACGAUUUUAACACUGUCCAGAUGGAUAUAUAUCACGGCUUCCAUAUCUGUACUUCUAGGUUACUGGACUCACUUCCUGAGGCUGCUCUGGGUUAGAUGAGCUCAGGGAGGCAAGCGCUGCCAUGAGAGGAAGGCUAACAAGGAUGAGACAUUUCUGUGUUUCUCAACUGUCCGUGUCCUAAGUAUCUGAUACCUUAAUUUUAACACAUGGAUAAAGUUUGGGAGGGAAGGAUCUCUCAAGAAAGGGGUAGUAGAAUAUAUAGUUAUGGAGAAACAGUGGGAGGCUGGAAUGGGGAUUAAAUGGGAGAAGAGAGGGGAGUGAGGGAACAUGGUGAGUGACAGCUAGUAUCAAGAGCCAUCUUAGGGAUAAUAUGGGAACCUAAUGCUGUAGAAGCUUCUUAAAACAACACACACGUAUGAAAGAAAUCUAAAUGGAAUCACCAAAUAACACCAGAGACAAUGUGACAACUAGACAUCUUUUGCCACCAUGUGAAACUUCUAGUGUAGGAAUGGGUUACAUCUAAUUGAGUUGUUGGCCAAAGGGGCCCCAUGGAAACUCACAAACAUCCCAUUCUAUUAACAAGACAAGGCUAUUGGUCACUUUUCACAAACUGAUAGGAAGACCCUAUUGCCAAAGACAAUACCUACAUUAUCUCUUUGAACACAGAGAAGUUGAGCUGAUGCCUAAGUAGAACCUUCUCUCCUACUAACUAGUGUUCACAGUACUUAUAGUAGUUUGAAUAAAAAUGGCCUCAUAAGCUUAUGGGGUCUGGCGCUAUUAGGAGGUGUGGUGUUGUUGGAGAAGGUGUGGUGUUGUUGGAGGAGGUGUCACUAGGGGACAGGCUUUGAGGUCUCAGAAGCUCAGACCUAAGCAAUGUGUCUCAGUCUCUUUCUGCAGCCUGCUGGUUUGGAUGUAGAACUCUCAGCUCCUUCUCCAAAACCAUGCCUGCCUGCAUGCUGCAAUGCUUCCUACC